GCCAGUAUCCACCUAACUCAAUUGGCAGAGCAUGAUACUCUAAGUCUCAGGGCCAUGGGUUUGAGCCCCAUGUUGAGCA